rnacentral:rRNA from 1 species
GAUAGAACGCUAGCGGCAGGCCUAACACAUGCAAGUCGAGGGGUAGGACACUUCGGUGUUUGAGACCGGCGCACGGGUGCGUAACGCGUAUGCAAUCUACCUUUUACAGGGGAAUAGCCCAGAGAAAUUUGGAUUAAUGCCCCAUAGUGUUAUAGAAUCGCAUGGUUUUAUAACUAAAGUUCCAACGGUAAAAGAUGAGCAUGCGUCCCAUUAGUUAGUUGGUAAGGUAACGGCUUACCAAGACAAUGAUGGGUAGGGGUCCUGAGAGGGAGAUCCCCCACACUGGUACUGAGACACGGACCAGACUCCUACGGGAGGCAGCAGUGAGGAAUAUUGGACAAUGGGCGCAAGCCUGAUCCAGCCAUGCCGCGUGCAGGAAGACGGUCCUAUGGAUUGUAAACUGCUUUUAUACAGGAAGAAACACUCCCUCGUGAGGGAACUUGACGGUACUGUAAGAAUAAGGAUCGGCUAACUCCGUG